GAAAAGUUCUGCUUCUCGGUCAGGUUUAAAGCGUACCCACAAAUCCGAUGCAAGUGGACCUUCUCUCAAACAUCGUUUCCUUGUGAACAAAGUGGCCUGGAGGAUGGGUACAGCAUUUCUAAAUUUUGCGAUCAUAAGAACAACCCAGGAGAAUACAUAUUCCAUGGAGAAAAUGAUGACGCCCAGUUCACCAAAAUGUUCAUACUGAAUAUAAGAAGGAAACCUCAAGUGCUAGCAAAUGCCUCAGCCAGCCAGGCAUCCUGUUUCUCUGAUGGCUACCCGUUACCCAACUGGACCUGGAAGAAGUGUUCGGACAAGUCACCCAAGUAAUGAGAACCUUGACGUCCCUUGAAAUGGAAGAGCCAAGUUGGACAUGGUGGCGCACUCCUGUAAUCCCAGCACUCGGGAGGCUGAGCUGCACGGAGGAAAUCCCAGAAGGAGUUUGGAAUAAAAAGGCUAACAGAAAAGUGUUUGGACAGUGGGUGUCGAGCAGUACCCUGAAUAUGAGUGAGGCCGGGAGAGGGUUUCUGGUCAAAUGCUGUGCAUACAAUUCUAUGGGCACGUCUUGCGAAACCAUCCUUUUAAACUCACCAGGUGUGCAGACGUUUGCUGUUGUGAUAAACACUCUGUCCCCAGAAAAAACCCCCACGUGAAGUUGGGCACUGUGGCUGGCCUGUGCUGAGGAAUUUUUAUGAGAUGGCCUAGUUCUGAGCGAGCAUAGGGUCUUUUUGAGUCAGGCAAGAAUCCCUAGGCAGACUCUGUCUGAUUUUA
rnacentral:lncRNA from 1 species